GCCACAACUACUGAGCCCAUGUGCCACAACUACUGAAGCCCACAUGCCUAGAGCCCGUGCUGCGCAGCAAAGAGAAGCCACCGCAAUGAGAAGCCUGCGCACCGCAACAACGAGGAGCCCCCGGUUGCUGCAACUAGAGAAAGCCAGUGCGCAGCAAUGAAGACCCAACAGAGCCAAAAAAAUAAAUAAAAUAAAUAAAUAAAUUUAAAAAACUAUUAAAAAAAUGGGGUUAAAAAAGGAACUAAUAAAAAAAUGAAAAAAAGCACUAUAAAAAUCACUACAUAUAUAGAGGGACAGAUGUCACACAUCCUACUGAUGUGUGUGAAAAGGACAGUUGUUAACUAUGAAAAAUAUUGUCAGUAUUAAAUGGAUUAUUUUUAAGAUGGAAAAUCGAGCUUUUGUCUUCGUCUGAGACAGCCAUUUUCUAGCCUCUACUACUUGUCAAAUAUCACCAAUACUCAGUAAAAAUGUCAGGCUUUUACUGACAAUUUUUUUUGGCUGUCAUAUUCUUUCUAGAUGAUAAGCUGAACCAACAUCAAAAUUAUUUUUGUGUGCUUUUCUGCAGUGUCAAAUUUGGUCAAUCCCUCAACUCUUAAAUGUUCUCAUGGAAUCUACAGAUAAACCUGAGAUGCUGUGGGGCUGAGUGGAAACAAAGAUCUCCAUCUUGCGUUGCACCUUGCUGUGAGCCCUUGGGUGAGAGACGAUUUCCUCAUCUGGCACCUGAUACUAAAGGCUCCGGUGUCUCCCCAAGUCUAUGAAUCUGUCUACUAAAGAUUUGACGUCACCUCGAGGGCGCCGGCGGAGAUGGCAAGGAAAGACAGCAUGUAGAGUGAGGAAGGUGGCCAGGUGCAGCUUCACAGGUGAGACCCCGCGUGCAGACCCACAGAAGCCUCACGGGCCUCUCUCCUUCCAGUUCACAAAUCAGGGAAAAUGAGAUCUGGGUCCCCUAUGAACCUAUCUUCCUCAUAGGCUGUGACAACUUCUCUACUUUGAGUGGGUCACAAACAUCAGGAGGACACAGGCAGGAUAACCAAAGUCAUCUGACUUCCAAGAGAUCUGAUAGACAGCGACAUCCCAAGAUGAGGUCAGACCACAGAGGUGCAGGUUCUGAAGUGGCCUGGCCUGGGCUUAAGCCUUUUGGGAAGUGAUGCUAGGAGACCCUGUACUGUCCCAGGGUCUGGAGGUGUGGGCUGUGGGCUGCGCCGUAUGUAAUUAGGUGUAUUUUACUUUAUAGAGCAUUACUGGAAAAACUUGCCAAACGUUCCGUUUUAUCCUGGAUGGGCUGCGGGUGGCUGAGUGGGGCGAUAAGGGAUGGAGAUGGGGAGAGUGGACCAGAAGAGCCCUGUCCCUUAGAGAGUCUGGAGAAGCCUCGGCAGCAGCAUGGUGGCAGAGAGCCAGAGCUCCAGGAAAGGGAGAGCAGGAGACAGGAUUUGAGUUGCCUUUUAGGGAAGCAGCCUUACCAGCAAUUCCAGUUUAAAAAAUCACUUUGCCAGCGCAGAUCAAGUCUCGGCUCCUCCUGCCUGGAACACGCCGAGGGGCACAUCUUGGGGUUCAGCCGUGAGUUUCUCCAGCCCCUCCUAAGCCUGCUUAUAGAAGGCAGUAGAGGCUCGUGGGGACCCUUGGCUGGCGGAGGUCCCAGGGCCUCAGAGGAAGUCUGGCCUCAGAGCUGGACGAGGCUGACAAUUCUUGAUAACAAAACAGACUGUUCCAUGGUGCAGCAACAGGAAGAAUUGGGUCCCAACGCCAGGGGAGAAGGAUGUGGCUGCACUUCAGUGUAACCUUGCUGGUUAUCCUCCUGCCAGAAUCUUUCCCAGUUUGCUCUCCACCACAUGCACUGCAAAUGAUGGUGUCAGGGAGAGGAGAGCCAGUUAAGACGGAAGGAGACCUUUUCUUGUUUCGGAAGGCACACUCUCCACCCAACCACCCCCCCCCACCACCACCAAGGAAACCUUGCAAAAAUCCAGAAGCCUGCUGUAGGCUUCUGCUACUUUGUCUACUGACGACGUCGGAUGGGCCCUCAGACAAAACAGGUGAGUCAGCUGUACCUUAUUAGAGCCGUCUUGUGGAAUAUUUAUGACAGACGGUUCCGAGGUCCAGGGAUGACAGGCAGCAGCGACCUCCGGUUUGGGGGUGGCUGAGUGAGUUCCGAGCUCACACCCACUUCCCCUGGGAGGCCAUCCUUACGGCCCGGAGCACACACAUUCCAUUCCCCUGAAUUUGGCAGCACGGUUUUCUGUGGUUUGGUCUUUUGGCUCCAGAUUGAACUACAUUUGUCCUCCAGUUAUUUCGUUUCAUCUAAAACCUUUCUCUUCGUCCAGACUGCGCAUACCUUGUCCCCCUCUUUACCCCCUUUACGAGCAUGCGGCCCAGCGCCAGACACACAGCAGCUACUCACCAAACACCUGUUCAGUUGAGAAUAAAUACCUGGAACGGGCAGCACACCAGCCUUGUGCCGUGUGAGGCUGUGUGAGAUGCUCGUGCUUCUCCCAUCUGCCAGGCUCUGCCCUCCUAGUGAGCCCAUCCUCUGCCUCUGCAGAAAACACCUCAUACUCCGGACCCUCACUUUAAGUCUCCCUUCCCGGCCCCUCACACCAGAUGAUGCCCCUGCCCCAGGCUUCGUGGAGGAGACGGUGUGGUCAGAGGAGAGCCGUCACCUCCCACCGCCGCCCUGCGUCCGGAUGCAUCUGUGCCACGUGGGCGGGGGUCCCAGCUUCAGCUGCACACGUGCCCCUGUUCUGUCUGAGGGUGUGGUGAAGCUGCCAGACUGUUUGUUGCUGGGCGUCGGGGCCAGCACGUCAGUGAAAACACAGGCCACAGUCCAGAUCGAUGGCAUCACGUCUUAAUGACUCCAGCUGCAUUUAAUUAAAACUGAGCCUGCUUGUUGGAACCCAGGCCUCGUGGCCAGUAGUCUGAGUUCUGCCUCAGUUUUGUUCUCCUCCAAUCUUCAAUUAAGGGAGCAACAAAAGAUCCCUAUCAUGAGCCAUGUGUGGUGAUCUCAUCAGCUAAGACAAAUAUUUUUUUUUCUGGUUAUAUUUAUAGAAACCUUUCUUGUUUCCUUGGACAACCCUAGCUGGGGUUAUCUUGUUUACUUUCUCUUUGUCC